rnacentral:rRNA from 1 species
UACGAAGGGGACUAGCGUUGUUCGGAAUCACUGGGCGUAAAGCGCACGUAGGCGGAUGUGUCAGUCAGGGGUGAAAUCCCGGGGCUCAACCUCGGAACUGCCUUUGAUACAGCACGUCUCGAGUCCGGAAGAGGUGGGUGGAAUUCCUAGUGUAGAGGUGAAAUUCGUAGAUAUUAGGAAGAACACCGGUGGCGAAGGCGGCCCACUGGUCCGGUUCUGACGCUGAGGUGCGAAAGCGUGGGGAGCAAACAGG